rnacentral:rRNA from 1 species
UACAGAGGUCCCAAGCGUUGUUCGGAUUCAUUGGGCGUAAAGGGUGCGUAGGCGGCGCGGUAAGUCGGGUGUGAAAUCUCGGGGCUUAACUCCGAAACUGCAUUCGAUACUGCCGUGCUUGAGGACUGGAGAGGAAACUGGAAUUUACGGUGUAGCGGUGAAAUGCGUAGAUAUCGUAAGGAAGACCAGUGGCGAAGGCGGGUCUCUGGACAGUUCCUGACGCUGAGGCACGAAGGCCAGGGGAGCAAACGGG